UCUAUUUGUUCCCCAGGUUCUUCUAUAAAACGAAUAAGUUUGACAUUGCAGGCAGCCCUGGAUUAAGUGUACCCGUGCCAUUUGCUUGCAUGUGACUUUGAGUAGGUAACUUAACCUCUCAGAGACUAGGGGUUUUCUCAUCUGGGAAAAUGGCUAAGAGCUGAUAGGAAAAUUAAAUCACUGAGAUAAUACAUCUGAUACAUCAGACACAGCACUGAGCAUAGAGAUGGAAAUUAUUGGGCAAAUAAUGUGGUGGUCUGGAAUGAGCAAGGGUUGGUCAGCUUUGGGUGUGAAUCUUGCUUCUACCAAUUUUUAGCUGCGACCUUAGGUAAGUUACUUGUCUUUUGUGAGUGCUAAUUUGUAAAGAGAGAUAAUACAUUCCUGUUUUAGGAGAUGUGAAGAGGCAGGAUUAAAUGAGAGGAUCUAACAGGCAUACCAACCUCUCUAGCAGAGAAAGAGCCCCCUGAACACUUAUUCAUCAAGGCAGGGAUAAUGAUUUAUGGCAUAAUGAGCUACUUUUUAAAAUGAGUCCAUAAUGGGAAACUCAAAGUAAAACACAUGGUUCAAGAAAAGCCUGCAUGAUGCUGGUUGGCAAGGGUGUUUGUGGAAAUUUCUUUUUCCUAGUAUUCACUCACUCCAAGGUCUUAGAACAGGGAAUUUGAUCAUCAGGCUGAAAUAGAUCCUUCCUGAGUUUUUCUUCUGGUUCCAUAGGGCAUGGAAAGGAAUCCAGGGAACCAGCUGAUCUUCUGACGUAUUCCUGGUUGGCCAUCGAUCCAUUCCACCAUCCAUCCUUGCAUCUCUCCAUCCAUCUUGUCAUCCAUCUUCCAUCCAACAAGAUGAAACUCCAUGUGUUGGGUCUCAUAAAGUGUGUCCUAUAUAAGAUGAAUCUUGGGAAGAGACGAGGAAAGGAAUUGGAGUAUAUGAUGGGGAGUGGUGAUGAUAAUCCACACCUGAAGUUGUAGGUGGACACAAUACCUUUGUUUAUUUUUAUGUGGUGCUGAGGAUCCAACCCAGGGCCUCACACAUGCUAGGUGGGAGAAGAAGACUAGAGGAUAUGCAGCUGGAGAAAUACCCCUUUCUCAAGGAGGAUAAGGCUCUGGGACAGACUUUCCUCUGGGUGGCUUGUGUUGUAGAGAAGGCUUUUGGUGCAUCUCAUGCUCAUCACACUGCUAGAGCCAUAAGAGGAUUUUUUUUUUUUUAAUCUCUUUGUUGUGAGUACCUGGUAAAAUUUCUGGAGAUAAAACCAGAAAAAUGUGCUCCCCACCCACAGAUGACAGCCUCCAGGAAUUUCUCACUCUUAAGCCAGUUCCCAACCUUCAGCCAUUCAUGCAGAUGGUCAUCCAGUACCUCUACCAGCUCUGUUAGUCUCUGCCAGCUUCUGCUCUGGGGGAUCACCCUGAGAAUUUCCCUUGAAUCCCAGGAAAGACUUUGGACUUGGACUUUUGGGUCAUGCUAAAACCCAAAACUAUGAGUACUCUUGGAAAUGGACUAAGUAUAUUUUGAAUUAGACGAAAAAGCUAACUAAAACAUGGGAUGGAAGAAAAAAUUUUCAACUCAUAUAUCUGAUGGAGAAUUGAUACGCAGAAUAUAAAUAGCUCCUAUAAUUCAUUAACAGCAAAAGGAGAAGAAAAUCCUUCAAAUAAUCUUGUCUUCAACAAAUGGUGCUGGGAAAACUGGAAAUCCAUAGGCAGCAAAAUGAAAAUAAACCCCUAGCUCUCAUCAUGCACAAAACUCAACUCAAAGUGGAUCAAGGACCUAGGAAUUAAUCCAGAGACUCUGUGCCUAAUCGAGGAAAAAGUGGGCUCAAAUCUUCAUCAUGUUGGAUUAGGCCCCGACUUCCUUAACAAGACUCCUAAAGUGCAAGAAAUAAUAUCAAGAAUUAAUAAAUGGGUUGGACCCAAACUAAAAAGAUUCUUCUCAGCAAAAGAAUCAAUGAGGUGAAAAGAGAGCCUACAUUUUGGGAGCAAAUUUUUGCCACAUGCACAUCAGAUAGAGCACUAAUCUUCUUCAGGACAUAUAAAGGAUUCCAAAAACUUUACACCAAAAUAAUAAUAAUAAUAAUAACAACAACAACAACAUCAACCCAGUCAAUAAAUGGGCUAAGGAGCUGAACAGAUAGUUCUUAGAAGAAAAUAUAAACUCGAUCAACAAAUAUAUGAAGAAAUAUUUAACAUCUCUAGUAAUUAGAGAAAUGCAAAUCAAAACUACUCUAAGAUUUCAUCUCACUCCAGUCAGAAUGGCAGUUAUCAAGAAUAUAAACAACAAAAAAUGUUAGUGAGGAUGUGGGAGAAAAGGCACACUCAUACAUUGCUGGUGGGAUUGCAAAUUGGUGUAACCAAUCUGGAAAGUAUGGAGAUUCCUUAGAAAACUUGGAAUGGAACCACCAUUUGACCCAGCUAUCUCACUCCUCGGUCUAUACCCAAAGGACUUAAAAUCAGCAUACUAUACUAAUGCAGCCACAUCAAUGUUCACAAUAGCUAAAAUGUGAAAGCAACCUAGAUGCCCUUCAAUAGAUGAAUGGAUAAAGAAACUAGGGUAACUAGGUUAUAUAAACAUAAUGGAAUAUUACUCAGCAUUAAAAGAGAAUCAAAUUAUGGUAUUUGCAGGUAAAUGGAUAGAGUUGGAAAAUAUCAUGCUAAGCAAAGUAAACCAAUCAAAAAAACAAAAAACAAAACAAAGGAUGAAUGUUUUCUCUGAUAAAAUGGCUGCUGAUUCAUAACAGAGGUGGGGCAUGAGAAAAAUGAAGGAACUUUGAUUGAUUCCAAAAGGGAGGCAAGGAUGGGGAGGGAAUAUGGGGCCAGGAAAGAUGGUGGAAUAAGAUGGACAUCAAUACCCUAGGUACAUGUAUGACUGCCCAUAUGGUGUGAUGCUAUAUCAUGAACAACAAGAGAAAUGAAAAGUUGUGCUGCAAUUGUGUACAAUGAAUCAAAAUGCAAUCUGCUGUCAUAUAUGCCUAAAUACAUAAAUUAAUUUAAAAAAGAAAGAGUUAAAAGACUUGAAUACACAUUCCUCCAUAGAAGAUAUACAAGUGAUCAACAAACACAUGAAAGGAUGCAGAUCACUAAUUCUUAGAAAAUGCAAAUCAGAACUGCAAUAAGAUACUACUUACAUCCCCUAACAUAACUGUUAUUUUUUUUUAAAGCAGAUAAUAAGUGUUGGUGAGGAUGUGGCAAAAUUAGAACCCAUGUGCAUUUCUUGUGGGCAUAUAAAAUGCUGUAGCAUGGAAAA